rnacentral:snRNA from 1 species
UUACUCUCAUCUAAUAGGAACAU